rnacentral:rRNA from 1 species
UACGUAGGUGGCAAGCGUUGUCCGGAAUCAUUGGGCGUAAAGAGCGCGUAGGUGGCUUGUCAGGUCUGAUGUGAAAACCUGGGGCCCAACUCCAGGCCUGCAUCAGAAACCGGCUUGCUAGAGUCUGGGAGAGGAGAGUGGAAUUCCUGGUGUAGCGGUGAAAUGCGUAGAUAUCAGGAGGAACACCGGUAGCGAAGGCGGCUCUCUGGAACAGUACUGACGCUGAGGCGCGAAAGCUAGGGGAGCGAACAGGAUUA